rnacentral:rRNA from 1 species
ACAAUAUACGAAGGUGCUGCAUGGUUGUCGUCAGCUCGUGCCGUGAGGUGGUCGGGUUAACGUCCAUAACGAGCGCAACCCCUAUCAUUAGUUGCCAUCAGGUCAAGCUGGGGACUCUAAUGAAACUGCCUACGCAAGUAGUGAGGAAGGUGGGGAUGACGUCAAAUCAGCACGGCCCUUACGUCCAGGGCUACACACGUGCUACAAUGGCCGGUACAAAGGGCAGCUACCUGGUGACAGGAUGCUAAUCUCAAAAGCCGGUCUCAGUUCGGAUCGGAGUCUGCAACCCGACUCCGUGAAGUUGGAUUCGCUAGUAAUCGCGCAUCAGCCAUGGCGCGGUGAAUACGUUCCCGGGCCUU